AUCAAAAGUAUAUGCUGCCAGAUGCCGUUUGCCUUUUCAAUUUCUACACGCGAUUAACUUCAGACACCUCGUUAACGUUUUUCUUCGAAAGUUCGUUAGACUUCGUGCAGUUAGCUUUUAAAAUUUCCCGCUUCGAUCUGCGCCGAGCGCUUCCAGUUCGGGCGACCGCCGCGCAUCUUCCGUUGCGCUCGGUGUCAUGGCGCUGCCGAUUAAGUGCGUAUAUCACGGGCCCUGAGAUACGGGCAGUGUCAUUCCCGUACCAAUUCCGUAUUGCUGAUGAUUAAUCACGUGCUGCGUGUCCGAGAGAUACUAAAAUAUGGAGUACAGUAUUACCAACCCGACGAGUCGCGGUCCGUAAGCGUCAAUGGCACGUGUCGCAAGGUUCAUUUCUCAAUUUCGUUAAUGCGACGUUCUACCGCGUCAAGGGCAACGGCGACUGUUGACGACGGACCCAGGGUGAGGAGGACAGUGGCUCCCCGUCGGUAAAGGAGGACUGGCUGGAAAUUAAAACAGAAAGGUGCCAAGGAAAGUUGAGACGACUCCACUGGUUUUUCAUUCUUCUACGUCCACGUAGCAUCACCCGGUGUCUCUUCGAUCGGCAGAGUGAAUUCUCCGAGUUUUCUGUCACGCUGUACUGCAAUUCGCAUUCGUGUCGCGCGACUAACCGAAC